UACGUAGGGGGCUAGCGUUGUUCGGAAUUACUGGGCGUAAAGGGCGCGUAGGCGGCCUGUUAAGUCGGACGUGAAAUCCCUCGGCUCAACCGGGGAACUGCGUCCGAUACUGGCGGGCUUGAAUUCGGGAGAGGGAUGGUGGAAUUCCAGGUGUAGCGGUGAAAUGCGUAGAUAUCUGGAGGAACACCGGUGGCGAAGGCGGCAUCCUGGACCGACAUUGACGCUGAGGCGCGAAAGCCAGGGGAGCAAACGGGG
rnacentral:rRNA from 1 species